UCACUGGAUGUCUGUCUAAGCCAGGCUCAGAAAAAUCCACCAGGAGCAACAGAGGGAGCAGUGAUCCCUCCAGGAUGGCUGAGACACGUCCCAAGGCUUCUUGGCAGCAGAAACUUCCCUUUCAAAGGUUUUGUGAACUUUAUUAAGCAGAGACAGAGCUCGGGAAGCCACCUGCAGCAGACCAAAACUUCCCAGGACAAGAUGUACAUUUAACUCCCUUUGCUUUAGUUACAUGAACAAGUGAAAAUAUAAAAUAACUCUGCCAGCCUGGAGGCAGCAGCAGACGAGGCCUGGGGCUUAAUUUGGCACCAAGAUCCCCCAGGAACUGAUGGAUUAGAAGGAUCCAGUGCUUUUCCCUCCUUCCUUCCAGCUGCCUGAAAGCAUGAGAUUCUUCCAUCUACUAAACAAACUAAGGAAGCCAAUUAUUGUCUGAUUUGGUGUCUGCAUUUGCCAUCCUGGAAAACGAACUCGAUAUAUUGGAUAGAUGCUGCUGCAUUUACAAGGAAGGGGCUUUUCCCUUUAUCUGUUGAGUGCAGUAAUCGCAGCCCAUGGCUAAUCACAUCGGUAAUUGUGGAGGGCUGAACGUGAGCGGGUGCAGCUCGCAAACAAAUAAACAAAAGGUGUUUAUUGCGGCUCUUCCAGCGGACCCGCUGGAUUUUGGCUGGGGCUGCCAUUGGCACAGGGCGCUGAUGAGCUUCUCAUUAGCAAAGCUCAUUAAAAUUACACCGAGGGAAGGAAACCGGCGGAUGUAUCUGAGCGAGGAGCCGCUAUCAAGAAACGCCGUCUCGAAGCCUUGAUCUCGUUCAGUGGGGAACGUGAGCGCUCCCAAUCCGCCCGAAUUCACCCCAAAAACUGAGCUCCGGGGCGGGCGAGGCGGCCCCCGGAACCAAAGAGCGCGGUCCGGCUGCCGCCCGGCCCCGCGCGCGGCGGACGGAGGCGGGAGGCGGCCAGCGCGGUCCCGGCGGCGGGAGCCCCGCUCGGGGCGGCGGGGCCCGGCCCGGAGCUGCCAUGGCCCACAGCCGCUCUCGGAAGCGAUCGCGGAGCAGGAGCAAAAGCGAUUCCCGGAGCAGGCGGGAGAGGAAGGAGAAGAAAAGGAGGAAGAGCAGCAAGGACUCACAGCGGGGCAGCAGCUCUCCACCAAGGAAGAGGAUCUCUGGCUCUCACGGACACAAAUCGAGCUUGGCAGCAGCCAGGGAAGAAAAGAAGAAGGAAGGAAAGGACAAAAAGAAGAGGAAGGCCAGUACCUCUUCCUCUGGGACAUCUUCGUCCACCAGCUCUUCCUCAUCUUCCUCCAGCUCCUCUUCCGAUGACUCCAGUGACUGUGACUCCAAAAUGAAGAAGAGUCAAGACAGCAAAAAAAAGCGAGUGAAACAGAAAGACAAAAAGAAGAGGAAGAAGAAGAAAAAAAUAAAGAAGAAAUCAAAAAAGAAGGCAAAGGAGAGAGCUAAGGAGGAGAAAGCCAAGGCAGAAGAGGCACCCGGCCCCUCGCUGGAGCAGUGGCAGAAGGAAUCAGUGGUGGACUCUGGGCCAGCUCUGACAGAUGAACAGAAAUCCCGGAUCCAGGCUAUGAAGCCAAUGACAAAGGAGGAGUGGGACGCGAGGCAGAGCGUCAUAAGGAGAGUGGUGGAUCCUGAAACGGGGAGAACCAGGCUCAUUAAGGGGGACGGGGAAGUCCUGGAAGAAAUCGUCAGCAAGGAGAGACACAAGGAGAUUAACAAGCAAGCCACUCGUGGGGAUGGGCUGGCCUUCCAGGUGAGGACGGGGAUGCUGCAGUGAGGGCAGGCACCAGCCAGCCCAGGGGCCUGUCCUGCUGCCCCUGCCAGCCUGGAGGAGCCUCUGCCUCUGGACCACGCAGACAGCACCGUGUCAAGAUGUUCCCCAGGGGCCCUUUCCAGCUGCUCUCACACCAGGCAUUGGAACGAUGCACUAACAGCAAGGAGGAGAAGGAAGUUGUACAGAAGGUUUGCCACACACAAGCGAGUCAUCGGCACUGCACACGCGGGGCGUACCCGGCGCCCUCGGGCAUCCCCCCGCUGGCUCCCCACACACAGCUGGUACCCCUAGAGCAAUUUUUUAUAAAUAAAAUAUAACUAACAUUGUUGGAAUAUAAAAUUGACAGUCGAGGGUAUCAACAGGCAGAGGGAGGGGACCGUAAGGCUUCUAGAACUAAUAGGAAAUGCAGCAAACAGUGGCGAUACCUGAAGAAGGGGCUGCUACAGCAAGCACGGCGGCUGCUGGGCGGGCAGGAGGGUGGUGGUGGUGACCCUUUGGCUGAUUUCUGCUCUGGGCUCGUGCCCCCAACACUGUAAACGGUUUUUGGUAUUAGGAUUUCGCCUCAUCUGACAGAGUGAUCUGAGCAAACCCAGGGAAACGACUCGGAGGGAAUGCACGGGCUCCUCACUGGUUUUUUAAAAGACUUUAAAGGGACAGCAUCAGGUAGAAAGUCUGGCCUAAGGGUGCAGUAAUAUAAAAAGCUGCUUUUCAUAAAAAAUCUGAGCUCAGCAGCAGAGUUUGAUUCCCAUGGAAAUGGAAAAGCAACCCCAAAGCCCGAGGCUGUGUUGUGCUGAUGUGCAGAACAGGACGUGGGCUGGCGCCGAGGGCUGCCCAGACAACGGCCGAGGGAGGAGGACAAGAAACUUCCCAUUCUCUCCUUUCAAAGCAAACAAGUUACUCUUAACAAGGAUAAAUUAGGUCUUUACCCUGACAGCGCCCCUUUAGUAAGGAUGGAAUAUACAUUCAUCUUUCCCUCACCACGUCCAGACGGAUCCUCUUCCAUACACGUGGAAAGGCAUCGGGUCACACGCAUUGCUCUCCAAAACAGCUCGGGACAAACAGGUUAUAAACACAGAGUUAAACUAUUGCUAUUGUUCUGUGAGUGCUCAUCUCUGCUUCAGAGGGAUGAGUGCCAGAUGGGGGCGGCUGAGGAUUGAGCGAUGGAGACGGGGAUGGACUGAGUCUGUGAAGAAAAACUUAGUGGCAUUAUUUCCUGGUGACUACACCCACCUCCCGGGGUAUUAUUGCAGCAAUAAAGGUCCUGCUCUACAAUUGCUUCUCCGUGUUGGAUCCGUACAAUGGCAACGGAUGGGGGGCCAGGGAAAGGACCUGGGCAAGGUUCAAGAAGCUCAACAGAGGAUGAGGACGGAGGUGCUGUGAUUGUCAGGCUAACUGGUUAGGAGCUGUUUAAAACAUGGAGUGAUGGAGAGGGUGAGUAUCAUAUUGCACUUCUGCAUUCAUUGACAGUUACAUUAAACUUGGUCCAUAAAAUAAUUGCUUUGUACAUAAUGCCUGAAACAAAAAGCUACAUUUUUAAAAUAUUAAUAAACCCUGAAGGUUCCAGUCCCUCCAGACAUUUUUUUUUUUCCUCUACAUAAAUAAAUAACUUUCAAUUUUA